rnacentral:rRNA from 1 species
UUAAGCGACUAAGCGUACACGGUGGAUGCCCUGGCAGUCAGAGGCGAUGAAGGACGUGCUAAUCUGCGAAAAGCGUCGGUAAGGUGAUAUGAACCGUUAUAACCGGCGAUGUCCGAAUGGGGAAACCCAGUGCAAUUCGUUGCACUAUCGUUAACUGAAUACAUAGGUUAACGAGGCGAACCGGGGGAACUGAAACAUCUAAGUACCCCGAGGAAAAGAAAUCAACCGAGAUUCCCCCAGUAGCGGCGAGCGAACGGGGAGCAGCCCAGAGUCUGAAUCAGCUUGUGUGUUAGUGGAACGGUCUGGAAAGUCCGACGGUACAGGGUGAUAGUCCCGUACACCAAAAUGCACAGGUUGUGAACUCGAAGAGUAGGGCGGGACACGUGGUAUCCUGUCUGAAUAUGGGGGGACCAUCCUCCAAGGCUAAAUACUCCUGACUGACCGAUAGUGAACCAGUACCGUGAGGGAAAGGCGAAAAGAACCCCGGCGAGGGGAGUGAAAAAGAACCUGAAACCGUGUACGUACAAGCAGUGGGAGCACCUUCGGGUGUGACUGCGUACCUUUUGUAUAAUGGGUCAGCGACUUAUAUUCUGUAGCAAGGUUAACCGUAUAGGGGAGCCGCAGGGAAACCGAGUCUUAACUGGGCGUUAAGUUGCAGGGUAUAGACCCGAAACCCGGUGAUCUAGCCAUGGGCAGGUUGAAGGUUGGGUAACACUAACUGGAGGACCGAACCGACUAAUGUUGAAAAAUUAGCGGAUGACUUGUGGCUGGGGGUGAAAGGCCAAUCAAACCGGGAGAUAGCUGGUUCUCCCCGAAAGCUAUUUAGGUAGCGCCUCGUGAACUCAUCUUCGGGGGUAGAGCACUGUUUCGGCUAGGGGGUCAUCCCGACUUACCAACCCGAUGCAAACUACGAAUACCGAAGAAUGUUAUCACGGGAGACACACGGCGGGUGCUAACGUCCGUCGUGAAGAGGGAAACAACCCAGACCGCCAGCUAAGGUCCCAAAGUCAUGGUUAAGUGGGAAACGAUGUGGGAAGGCACAGACAGCCAGGAUGUUGGCUUAGAAGCAGCCAUCAUUUAAAGAAAGCGUAAUAGCUCACUGGUCGAGUCGGCCUGCGCGGAAGAUGUAACGGGGCUAAACCAUGCACCGAAGCUGCGGCAGCGACACUAUGUGUUGUUGGGUAGGGGAGCGUUCUGUAAGCCUGCGAAGGUGUGCUGUGAGGCAUGCUGGAGGUAUCAGAAGUGCGAAUGCUGACAUAAGUAACGAUAAAGCGGGUGAAAAGCCCGCUCGCCGGAAGACCAAGGGUUCCUGUCCAACGUUAAUCGGGGCAGGGUGAGUCGACCCCUAAGGCGAGGCCGAAAGGCGUAGUCGAUGGGAAACAGGUUAAUAUUCCUGUACUUGGUGUUACUGCGAAGGGGGGACGGAGAAGGCUAUGUUAGCCGGGCGACGGUUGUCCCGGUUUAAGCAUGUAGGCUGGUUGUCCAGGCAAAUCCGGAUAAUCAAGGCUGAGGUGUGAUGACGAGGCACUACGGUGCUGAAGUAACAAAUGCCCUGCUUCCAGGAAAAGCCUCUAAGCAUCAGGUAACAUUAAAUCGUACCCCAAACCGACACAGGUGGUCAGGUAGAGAAUACCAAGGCGCUUGAGAGAACUCGGGUGAAGGAACUAGGCAAAAUGGUGCCGUAACUUCGGGAGAAGGCACGCUGGUGUGUAGGUGAAGUCCCUGCGGAUGGAGCUGAGACCAGUCGAAGAUACCAGCUGGCUGCAACUGUUUAUUAAAAACACAGCACUGUGCAAACACGAAAGUGGACGUAUACGGUGUGACGCCUGCCCGGUGCCGGAAGGUUAAUUGAUGGGGUUAUCCGUAAGGAGAAGCUCUUGAUCGAAGCCCCGGUAAACGGCGGCCGUAACUAUAACGGUCCUAAGGUAGCGAAAUUCCUUGUCGGGUAAGUUCCGACCUGCACGAAUGGCGUAAUGAUGGCCAGGCUGUCUCCACCCGAGACUCAGUGAAAUUGAACUCGCUGUGAAGAUGCAGUGUACCCGCGGCAAGACGGAAAGACCCCGUGAACCUUUACUAUAGCUUGACACUGAACAUUGAGCCUUGAUGUGUAGGAUAGGUGGGAGGCUUUGAAGCGUGGACGCCAGUCUGCGUGGAGCCAACCUUGAAAUACCACCCUUUAAUGUUUGAUGUUCUAACGUUGGCCCCUGACCGGGGUUGCGGACAGUGUCUGGUGGGUAGUUUGACUGGGGCGGUCUCCUCCCAAAGCGUAACGGAGGAGCACGAAGGUUAGCUAAUCCUGGUCGGACAUCAGGAGGUUAGUGCAAUGGCAUAAGCUAGCUUGACUGCGAGCGUGACGGCGCGAGCAGGUGCGAAAGCAGGUCAUAGUGAUCCGGUGGUUCUGAAUGGAAGGGCCAUCGCUCAACGGAUAAAAGGUACUCCGGGGAUAACAGGCUGAUACCGCCCAAGAGUUCAUAUCGACGGCGGUGUUUGGCACCUCGAUGUCGGCUCAUCACAUCCUGGGGCUGAAGUAGGUCCCAAGGGUAUGGCUGUUCGCCAUUUAAAGUGGUACGCGAGCUGGGUUUAGAACGUCGUGAGACAGUUCGGUCCCUAUCUGCCGUGGGCGCUGGAGAAUUGAGGGGGGCUGCUCCUAGUACGAGAGGACCGGAGUGGACGCAUCACUGGUGUUCGGGUUGUCAUGCCAAUGGCACUGCCCGGUAGCUAAAUGCGGAAGAGAUAAGUGCUGAAAGCAUCUAAGCACGAAACUUGCCCCGAGAUGAGUUCUCCCUGAGACUAUAAGUCUCCUGAAGGAACGUUAAAGACGAUGACGUUGAUAGGCCGGGUGUGUAAGCGCAGCGAUGCGUUGAGCUAACCGGUACUAAUGAACCGUGAGGCUUAACCUU